rnacentral:tRNA from 1 species
ACCUGGGUAGCUCAGUCGGUUGGGCAUCUGACUUCAGCUCAGGUCACGAUCUCACAGCUUGUGAGUUCGAGCCCCACAUCGGGCU